rnacentral:rRNA from 1 species
UACAGAGGUCUCAAGCGUUGUUCGGAUUCAUUGGGCGUAAAGGGCGCGUAGGCGGCCUGUUAAGUCGAACGUGAAAUCCCUGGGCUCAACCCAGGAACUGCGUCCGAUACUGGCAGGCUUGAAUCCGGGAGAGGGAUGCGGAAUUCCAGGUGUAGCGGUGAAAUGCGUAGAUAUCUGGAGGAACACCGGUGGCGAAGGCGGCAUCCUGGACCGGCAUUGACGCUGAGGCGCGAAAGCCAGGGGAGCAAACGGG